UACGAAGGGGGCGAGCGUUGUUCGGAAUUACUGGGCGUAAAGGGCGCGCAGGCGGCUCUGAAAGUCAGAUGUGAAAGCCCCGGGCUUAACCUGGGAAUUGCAUUUGAUACUCUGGAGCUUGAGUGUGGGAGAGGAGAGUGGAAUUCCCAGUGUAGAGGUGAAAUUCGUAGAUAUUGGGAAGAACACCGGUGGCGAAGGCGGCGCUCUGGACCGAUACUGACGCUGUAGAGCGAAAGCGUGGGGAGCGAACAGG
rnacentral:rRNA from 1 species